rnacentral:rRNA from 1 species
AUUGAACGCUGGCGGCAGGCCUAACACAUGCCAGUCGAACGGUAACAGGAAGCAGCUUGCUGCUUCGCUGACGAGUGGCGGACGGGUGAGUAAUGUCUGGGAAGCUGCCUGAUGGAGGGGGAUAACUACUGGAAACGGUAGCUAAUACCGCAUAAUGUCGCAAGACCAAAGAGGGGGACCUUCGGGCCUCUUGCCAUCGGAUGUGCCCAGAUGGGAUUAGCUUGUUGGUGGGGUAACGGCCCACCAAGGCGACGAUCCCUAGCUGGUCUGAGAGGAUGACCAGCCACACUGGGACUGAGACACGGUCCAGACUCCUACGGGAGGCAGCAGUGGGGAAUAUUGCACAAUGGGCGCAAGCCUGAUGCAGCCAUGCCGCGUGUAUGAAGAAGGCCUUCGGGUUGUAAAGUACUUUCAGCGGGGAGGAAGGGAGUAAAGUUAAUACCUUUGCUCAUUGACGUUACCCGCAGAAGAAGCACCGGCUAACUCCGUG